AGGUAACGGCUUGGCGCCAUUCAUGACUGCUGCUCACUCGUGCGCGCGUAAAAUUUGGUCACCACUUGCUCACGUGCCCUCAUUGAGUAGGCAAAGAUUUGAAAGGACACGUCAUCGUUGUAGUGACGUCAUCAAGUUUAUCACAUCAACAGAUUCAGAAACAAUCAUUCCAAUAAGAUAAACUAACGAUAACAUACCUGAACAGUUAUCACAGAACUCUAUUUGUGCCACAAAAGCACUAAAAAGAGAUGGCUUGUGCAAGCUCCAACAUUCAGAGACUCCGAUUACUGACACUGUUUCUCUUCUGCAACUCCUUGUUUUUCAUUGACGCCAGCGCCUCAAGGCUGUAUUUAUCUGAAGACAUCGAGCCUAUAGUCGUCCAACCUGAACAAGACGGGCCGUUAUUAAAUCAGGACCAUAAUGGAGAAUCUCAACAGAUCAUGGUGGUGUCUGCAAGGCCGGAGGUUCUUCCAGAAGAUGAGGCCGAGGAAUAUGAAAGUGAAGACGAUCGCGUACUCGCAAACAACGGAGCUGCUUCCAAUACACUGUUGCCUUCAAACUCUGAAAGUAGCUACUUCCAAACAUCAACAAUAAGUGUCAAUGUCUGGCCCAAAGACUCUCUGAGAAGAAUGUAAG
rnacentral:sRNA from 1 species